UACAGAGGGCCCGAGCGUUGUUCGGAUUCAUUGGGCGUAAAGGGUGCGUAGGCGGUCUGCUAAGUUUGAUGUGAAAUCCCGGGGCUCAACCGUGGAAUGGCAUUGAAUACUGGCGGACUAGAGUACCGGAGAGGAAACUGGAAUUUACGGUGUAGCGGUGAAAUGCGUAGAGAUCGUAAGGAAGACCAGUGGCGAAGGCGAGUUUCUGGACGGUAACUGACGCUGAGGCACGAAGGCCAGGGGAGCAAACGGG
rnacentral:rRNA from 1 species